ACCGCAUAGCUGGGGAGCUGGCGCACGCUGGCUGAGAGGGGAGAAGCAUCCCGACCCAUACACCUGAUCUGGAUAAUGCCAGCGUAGGAACCGUAUGCAGCCGCAUCA
rnacentral:ncRNA from 2 species